rnacentral:lncRNA from 10 species
AGGAAAUGGGGCAGCCAGGAGUGCUCGAGAACAGAUGGGGCCAGGCACCAUGGCCCACACUUGUAAUCCCAGCACUUUGGGAGGCCAAGGCAGGCAGAUCACUUGAGCCUCCCCAGGGAUAUGAGGCGGCUUGUGAGGUCCUCUGGAGUCAGAAGAUGCCACCACCCCAGAGGAUGUGAGCCCACCUGUGGAGGUCUUGAUCCCCACCACUAGGAUGGGGCAGCCCCAAGGUGGGUGACUACAUGAACUCCCUGUGGUGAGGGGUGAGUAGAAGCCCAUGGAAGCCUCCCCACUGCCAUGCAACCCCAUCGCAUCUCCACUGAACUCCGAGCAGAAAACGGCUGCCUGAUGGGAACUGUCAUUUAGGUUCCCAGGCUACUUUGGUGGAUCUGAGAAUAAAUCCCUCAAGACAAGGUCCUUGCUCUGCCCUUCUCCAGGGUGGGACCCAGAGUUACUGGCCCCUCCAUCCCAUGGAGCCGAUUCUGCAACCCUCACUUCCUAAGCACAGAAAUCUGGAACCACUGGUUAAAAAGAAGUCUGAGAGCCAAAAUACACACAGCCAGCUGUGAGUUACUACCUGCCUUACCCAGGAAAAGGACAUGAGCUGCCCAAGCACACACCUCUUUGCCAUCUAUGCCAGCAUUUUUACCUUCAAGGCCGAUGUUCUCAUCGUGUUAAGUACAUUUGAGUUUAAAUGCGAGUCUAUGAAUUCCUGUCUACUGCCUGGAAGUGCCGCUGUCAGGACUGAGAUAAUGUGUGUACUUUCGGUGCACAGGGGACGCUCAACACGUGCGAGCUUCCCUUGCAGAAAGCCAAGAGAUGAAAGGCUGGGGGCCGCCCCUGCCUUAACGUGGAUCCCACACUCUCCGAGAUCAUCUCCCCAGCUAGCGCUUACUCCUGCCCAGGAACCAGAUCCUGGGGCCUCCGGGUUCGGAUGCGGAGGGGCCCAGGGCACCAGGAGACGAUGGAGAGAGGCCACGCCCCUCGCGACGUCACUGAUGUCAAGGUGACUGGACUUGGAGAUAGGGAAGUCCAGAAGAGCAGUGGGCUGCUGUCUGAGAGUGUCCCUGUCACAGCCUCGAGCAAUCACUGACCUGGGAUCACGGACAGAUUUCAAGCAUCAGGAAGAAGGUGGGAGUAGAUGGCAGUGAAGGUGCCUCUCGACUGGGAGAUGCAGUGUGCAUUGGCUGGGAUCCCCUUCCUCGGCUCCCUACUCCACCACUACCCCAGAACAAACUCCUACCUCUGUUUGCAACUAAGAGUUACAUCCCCCAUGCCAAGACCUUCCGAGGCGUCCCAGAGGGGGAGCUGCCGAGUGCCGGGUCGUCGCUGACCGCAGGCUGCAAGAGCGGUUGAUCUGUUUGCUGUGCCAUUUCUCAUGCCAGGAGUGCCUGUCCUCCCUGUCUACCCAUCUCUGCUGCUCCAGCUCAUAAAGCUUCCUUGAAACAGUGCCAGCCAAAUCUGAUUCCUGUCUCCUCUGAACGCCCAGCACACUCAGUUUGUACCUUUCUCACGGCACAGCGUGUGGCCUGUCUCAUAUUCUAGCGAUCUGUUUACUAAUCCUGUUCUUCUAACCAGAUUAGAAAGUCCUUGAGGCAGAAACAAAGUCUGCUUCUUCUUUGAGCCCUCUCCUCCACUGCCCCCGCCUCCCACCACCAUUCCAACUCAUCCCCCACAGGCCAGGCUUGGCACCGGAGUUCAUGUUCAAUAAAUAUUGGGUGUAUUGAAAUGA